UCCUUGUUCGUCUAACGGUCAAGAUACGGCUUUUUCAAGACGGUGAAUUAAUAUAUCACUCUAAAGCAGCUGAGAUCGGGGUUCGAUUCCCCGGCAGGGAA